rnacentral:misc_RNA from 2 species
CCCAACUAUCCCUAUUAAUCAUUACGGUGAUCCUAGAAACCAACAAAAUAGAACCAUGCCGUCCUAUUUUAUUAUUCCAUGCUAAUCUAUUCAAGCACAAGCCUGCUUUAAGCACUCUAAUUUUUUCAAGGUAAUAGCUCUGCUUCCCCAACGCACUAACUUAAUAGCAUGCUGGUUAUUCAGAAGGUAGGAAUUCAUCAGGCCAGUGCGGACAGUGAAGCCCGACCAACCGACAAACUCCGAAAUUCAACUACGAGCUUUUUAACUGCAACAACUUUAAUAUACGCUAUUGGAGCUGGAAUUACCGCGGCUGCUGGCACCAGACUUGCCCUCCAA